UCUGCUUAGGUCAAACUUCAUUCUUAAUCAGCAGAAGCCUUGCCCGAGAUGACUGGGUUGGUAGUUUCACUUUCUCUUAUGCACAUGGACCCAAUACCCCUUCUUAGAGCUGAUGAUGUCAGUCCCCAUGUUCUCUGCAUGGCAACACUGUAACCAUGAUUGUUUAAUCAGGAAGGAGGUCUGGUGACUAAUGAAGAUGAAGAAAUGGUCAGAGAAUGGAAAUGGCCUCGGGAUGGCAAGCUUGCCCAGCCAGUUAUAGCACAGUCUGCAGAUUCUCUCCCAGUUACCUUGGUUAUGCAGAGAUCACAAGGGAAGAAGAAAGAGAACAGCCAAGCUCCCAAGUCAGAAUGUCCUCUCCUAGAUCAAAAGAAGUUGACUCUUCCAUCUGGCAUGCAACAGAAACCACACUCUUACCCUCUCAGGUCUUCUGCUUUACUAAAUAGCAAUAUAAAAACAGAGAGGCUGCAUACCACUCAGUUCAAUUUAAGUAAAAGGAGGAAUGUACUGAAUGUCAGUAAUUCAUGGAACAGGCUGUGGGUCACAUCCCAGAUCGCCUGUCCUGCUAUGCUUCAAAGAGUUGUGAUAGAGGAGGAAGGGAAGACAUGCAGCUGUAGCAAUCAUCGGAUUCCCUAUGUGUCAGACCUGGAGUAUGAUCACUUCAUUAACAACAUGGUGGCCUUUAAGGAGCAGAUUACAGUGGUCUGUGUCUCAUCUUCACAAAGAAAAGAUCCCAGUGAAGAUGAAAUAGAGCAGCUGUAUGAAAGGCAGAACAAACACAGAAGUAUGCCUUGUGCUCAGGGUUGUCUGGAUUCCUUUCGCCUCCUCAAAUACAACAUCACCUCUGAUAAUGCACUUACAGAUCAUAAAGGUUCCUUGUUGAGAAGAGACAUAAUGUAG
rnacentral:lncRNA from 1 species